rnacentral:rRNA from 1 species
UACAGAGGUCUCAAGCGUUGUUCGGAUUCAUUGGGCGUAAAGGGUGCGUAGGCGGCGCGGUAAGUCGGGUGUGAAAUCCUGGAGCUUAACUCCGAAACUGCAUUCGAUACUGCCGUGCUUGAGGACUGGAGAGGAGACUGGAAUUUACGGUGUAGCGGUGAAAUGCGUAGAUAUCGUAAGGAAGACCAGUGGCGAAGGCGGGUCUCUGGGCUGACACUGACGCUCAUGCACGAAAGCGUGGGGAGCAAACAGG